GACGUAGGUGGCGAACGUUAUCCGGAAUUAUUGGGCGUAAAGGGUGCGUAGGUGGUGUAGUAAGUUAUCGGUGGUAAAUCGAGGCUCAACCUCGUGGAAGUCGGUAAUACUGCUAUGCUAGAGGAUAGGAGAGGUUAACGGAACUCCCUGUGGAGCGGUGAAAUGCGUAGAUAUAGGGAAGAACACCAAUAAGGCGAAGGCAGUUAACUAGUCUAUUCCUGACAUUGAGGCAUGAAAGCGUGGGGAGCAAAACGG
rnacentral:rRNA from 1 species